CUCAAUGCGUCCUAUGAUUCAGGGUUCUCAGCCCUCUGUUUGUGGAUCACAAUUUGUUUCCUUUGCUCCUAAAACAGUAAUUUAGGGCCUGAGAUGAAAGUGUCACAGACCUGGAUGGGGAAUUUGAAUGGAUCGCAAAUACAGUGAGAUCAUUUGGAGUUGAAAUCCCAGUUUCCAACGGCUGGCAAAGCCUGUUGUAGGACUUUUCCUACGGAGAUGGGUUUGUUUGCAGAUGGGGAGGCUGGCUGGUUGGUUUGUUUUUUUCCAUUAUGGCGAUGCUAGAACUUGCGUCUGACGAAGUGGAGAUCACCCACAAAAGCUUAUGCCCCAAUAUGUUUGUUACUCUGUAAGGUGCCACAGGACUCUUGGUUGCUUUUUACAGAUCCAGACUAACAUGGCUCCCCCUCUGAUACUAGAACUUCUGUAAAUAAUAUGACUCAGGCCUAAUGAGCGAAGGAGGUUUGAACGGCUCAGAGGAGAAUGCAAUGGGAGAAUCUCUUGUCCUGAUUCUGAGUGGUCAUAGAAUCAUAGGCUCACAGAAGAUCAGGGCUGGAAGGGACUGUGACGUUAUUGAUAUAAUCUGGGACCAUAUAGAACAUGGCUGCAACCAAGGUCCUGUAGUGGCACCAAAUCUUAUGUAAAGGGGGUCAUAUAAGGUGUCUAAGACCAGGUUAUGGGUUGCUGGUUAUGAUUAUGCUGUCUGUGUGCAUGUGUCAUUUUGUAGUUGAAGUUGUGAGUAUUGGCUGUAUACUGUCUGUAUUUCAAAGUUGUGCUGUGCUUCUGGGAGACAUCCCAGACAAGUUGGUGCUAGCUCUGCCUAGCCUGCUUGAUGGCCCAUUAAGGAUCAUCAGCUACACAACUGACCCAUUGAGGGGAGGGAGAUACGCCUUGUAACUCAGCAGGGUGUGCAGGGACUGGCCCAUGUGACUCCAGACUCCAUUUUGCUGUAAUUUUCCACAAUAAGAACAAAGAAGUGUUCUUACACCUGGAAAAGCCUAUAAAAGGCUGAUGCCUCACCUCCAUCUUGUCUUCAAUCCUGCUUCCUACCUCUGGAGGGAAUUUGCUACAAACUGAAGCUCUACACAAGGGACUGAUGACCCAUCCCAGAGGGGGAUGUACUCCAGAGACUUGAUUUGAACCUGCAGUUUACUCCAUCACUGCUACAAGCCUGAACUAAGAACUUUGCCAUUCCUGUAUGUAAUUGAUUCCACUUAACCAAUUCUAGCUCUCAUCUCUAUCUUUUUCCCUUUAUGAAUAAACCUUUAGAUUUUA